rnacentral:lncRNA from 1 species
GAACACCUUUUCUGCAUGUUCCUCUGUCUAGCAGAGAAGAUAAAGGAAGGACUGGAAACUCCAGCAGCUGCUGUCUUUGGCUCUGGCUUGGAAGACUUCAGUUUGGGUUGGGAAAACGCUGAAGAGUGCUCCUUAGCAUUUUCAUGGGUCAAGCUGGUCUCAAACACCUGGUUAUCCAGACAGGCUCCUGAGUGCCGAAAAGGACCAUGUUUUUGCAUAUUACCAAAAUUAUCCAGAUGUACACAUUGGAUAUGUGGAAUUCUUUACCUAUCAAUGAAACUGCUCUAACA